rnacentral:rRNA from 1 species
UAGGGAAUCUUCCGCAAUGGACGCAAGUCUGACGGAGCAACGCCGCGUGAGUGAAGAAGGAUUUCGGUUCGUAAAACUCUGUUGUUAGAGAAGAACAGCGCAUAGAGUAACUGUUAUGCGUGUGACGGUAUCUAACCAGAAAGCCACGGCUAACUACGUGCCAGCAGCCGCGGUAAUACGUAGGUGGCAAGCGUUGUCCGGAUUUAUUGGGCGUAAAGCGAGCGCAGGCGGUCAAUUAAGUCUGAUGUGAAAGCCCCCGGCUCAACCGGGGAGGGUCAUUGGAAACUGGUUGACUUGAGUGCAGAAGAGGAGAGUGGAAUUCCAUGUGUAGCGGUGAAAUGCGUAGAUAUAUGGAGGAACACCAGUGGCGAAGGCGACUCUCUAGUCUGUAACUGACGCUGAGGCUCGAAAGCGUGGGUAGCAAACAGG